rnacentral:rRNA from 1 species
GACAGAGGUGCCGAGCGUUAGGCGGAAUCACUGGGCUUAAAGCGUGUGUAGGCGGAUGGGUAAGUACCUUGUGAAAUCCCACGGCUCAACCGUGGAACUGCUCGGUAUACUGCUCGUCUUGAGCCAACUAGGGGCGACCGGAACAAACGGUGGAGCGGUGAAAUGCGUAGAUAUCGUUUGGAACGCCGAUGGUGAAAACAGGUCGCUGGGGUUGUGCUGACGCUGAGACACGAAAGCCAGGGAGCGAACGGG